AAGUUUCUUGGGCCGGGAGUUCCAUGUCUUCUUCCUCAUCCUCCUCUGGCAAGUCCUCUUGUACCUCGUCUGUGCCUCUCAUACGACCCAUAUCAAAGUUGUUUUCUGGUACCUCAUUUUCUUCAUCCUCGUCAACCCACAUAGUCCAGUCCACCUUCACAAAUUUGGGUGGCUUUCCUCCCGCCUUCAGCAACCUCGGCCACCAUCCCGUCUCCUUCUUCGCCAGCACCAACGUCGUGCGCCGCUGCUCCGUAUUCACAACGCUCUUCUCCACAUUGAUAGCCCCGUAGAGCUCUAGAUCGGCCUCAAAAGUGGUUAUUGACACCCACUGUCGCAGAAUACGUAAAACGGCCCUCUGUCUCCAACUUCACCUCUGGAUUUUUCGCAUCCAGCAGCUCCACCUUCAAGUACACCUUCUCAGAGCGUUGUGCUUACACCGUCCUGGAGUAUGACUUGCCACCUCCCCGAGACUAGCAAGCUGUCCCUAGAAUAGUGGUGUUCGAUUGAAAACCUGAUGUGGACGAUUUUUUUUGUGAACAUACUCAGAUGUGGAUUUAACUCUCACAGGAAGUUCUCUGUUUACCGGCUGGGAAGAAGCGGCUAUUUCUAUUAACUGCCUCAGUAGACAAGAAUGUCUCGCAGGGGCUUAGGACAAGGAAGAAGCAGCAGCGUGGGCUUACGAUCUUGCUGCUCUAAAAUAUUGGGGAUCAGGAACUAUAAUCAACUUUAAGAUACACGCAUAUUUCUUCGAGGAGGCUGGAGUUCUAAUUGUGUCCAACAAACCAACGCAUAUUUUAUGAUAUUUUAUGAUAUUAACGCUUGGAUUCGUGAUGGACUGAAAGAGGGUUGUAUUAAGCGUGAUAAUUUAUGAUAUCCGUGGAACACAUCCCAAGAAUAUUUUAUGAUGUGAAAUGCAAAAAUGCUGCUAGUAGCAAAAAACCUAGACCCGGUUUUUGUAAGCACAUUGUGUAUAAUAACAAGUGAAAUUGAUAUGUAGUUUAGUGAUCGUAGCCCAUUUACUGAGCUUUAUUGAAGCAAACAAUCGAACCCAAUUGAGAAAGUGUGGUGCUUAAGCCACAUUUGUAAAACAAUUCCAUGCUUCUAUGUCAUAUUCUAUAUUAACAUAA